rnacentral:rRNA from 1 species
GACGAACGCUGGCGGCGUGCUUAACACAUGCAAGUCGAGCGGUAAGGCCCUUCGGGGUACGACGAGCGGCGAACGGGUGAGUAACACGUGGGUGACCUGCCUCUAGCUCCGGGAUAAGCCUGGGAAACUGGGUCUAAUACCGGAUAUGACUCCACGGCGCAUGUUGUGGGGUGGAAAGCCUUGUGCGGCUAGAGAUGGGCCCGCGGCCUAUCAGCUUGUUGGUGGGGUGAUGGCCUACCAAGGCGACGACGGGUAGCCGGCCUGAGAGGGCGACCGGCCACACUGGGACUGAGACACGGCCCAGACUCCUACGGGAGGCAGCAGUGGGGAAUCUUGCGCAAUGGGCGAAAGCCUGACGCAGCGACGCCGCGUGAGGGAUG